UACAGAGGUCUCAAGCGUUGUUCGGAUUCAUUGGGCGUAAAGGGGGCGUAGGCGGCGCGGUAAGUCGGGUGUGAAAUCUCGGGGCUUAACUCCGAAACUGCAUUCGAUACUGCCGUGCUUGAGGACUGGAGAGGAGACUGGAAUUUACGGUGUAGCGGUGAAAUGCGUAGAUAUCGUAAGGAAGACCAGUGGCGAAGGCGGGUCUCUGGACAGUUCCUGACUCUGAGGCACGAAGGCCAGGGGAGCAAACGGG
rnacentral:rRNA from 1 species